ACAAGUUGAAAAGCUGCCGAAGGUAAUAGCUGGAAAAUCUUUUGAUCCUUUCUGUCUCCUUGCUAUCAGUUUCCUGGAUCUGUUUUGGUAUAGAAAUAUCCAGAGGCUCUGUCUCUCACAGCUCCUCCACUCCUGCAGACUAUUACAUCAGAGGUUCUGCUUUUUAAACACUGACCUCAGGAGAAGCUCUGCAGGAUGAGAAGGUUAUUAUGUGACUGGACACCUUAAGUCACUUGGGGUACAUUGCUACAGCGUCUCAGUUAUCAGUGUUCUCCUUCAGAGAUGAAGUCUGCUUCGACAUGUCAGAGCACAUUUUGAUGGCACUGCCACAUGAAGAAAAAACCUGUUAAUUUACUGCACAGGUAAACAUCAAAAGACAUGGUCUGAACCAAAUCAACCCUAACUUUAUCUCUCUCUUUACUUUAAGUAGAAUUAGAACAGCCAAUCUUUCCUUGAAAAGCAGAGUUUCUUUUCCCUGGUCCAGAAAGAUUUAAGUGUUCCCCAUCCCUGAGGAUCCUCAGGUAACUCCAUUGUGCCACUAAGCAUUUAGAAGCAUCACACUUGCCUGCAAAGUUUGUAGCAACAUCACAUCCUUCUGCCUGUUGCAGACAUCUGUCUCAUGAGGAACAUGCAGCUGCUGAACUGAUCUUCCCACAAUGUCUAGGCACGAAGUUCAUCCAACACUCCAUAAGAAACCUGACAAAAAAACCAACUGAUUGUCUGUUUUGUGCAGCCAGGGGGUCACUCCAUUUUAAAAGAGGCAAUGGUAAAUUUAACAUCCAAGCUGUCAUGAGUGGAAGACUAGACACAGUGAAGAAAAGUCUUCCAGUUCUACUUUCUUAAAGUUUAAUUUUCUGAUAUUUUUUGUGAUGAAGCUGAAAAUGAAAGAAUUGCACCUCUACCUUUGGAAUAGAAGCCACACUCAGAGCAAGACACAGCUCACUGACAUGCUGACUACACAAGAAACUAUUUCUCCUUAGUUUAGCCUUUUCAUCUUAAGCUAGAGGCAAAAAAGCAGUCAUAGAAUACUUGCAGAAAAUUAAAAGAACUUCCAAAUUAAUUCUUGGUCAGAUCAAUGGAAUUUCACUUAGCCCAAAUUGUGUUUGUGUGAAAGAUCCCUCUAAUGGUCAUAAGUGAGCAGUGGUCAUAUCUUCAGCACUUUGAACCUAUUUUUACUGUGUUUGAAAGGUGAUAUAUUUUGGGUGAUAAUGUUAUUUAAGAAAAAAAAUCAUAUUCUGUACUUUUAAAUCUUU
rnacentral:lncRNA from 1 species